rnacentral:ncRNA from 2 species
GCUAAAGACUCUGGAGAGAGCCUGUGAAACCCAUAGGCCGCCGAAGGGAUAACGAUCUCAGGCACCUGGACAGAGGGGGCAUC